rnacentral:rRNA from 1 species
AGAGUUUGAUCCUGGCUCAGGACGAACGCUGGCGGCGUGCUUAACACAUGCAAGUCGAACGAAAAGACGGAAAGAGCUUGCUCUUUUCAGAAUUGAGUGGCAAACGGGUGAGUAACACGUAAACAACCUGCCUUCAGGAUGGGGACAACAGACGGAAACGACUGCUAAUACCGAAUAAGUUCCAAGAGCCGCAUGGCCCAUGGAAGAAAAGGUGGCCUCUACCUGUAAGCUAUCGCCUGAAGAGGGGUUUGCGUCUGAUUAGCUGGUUGGAGGGGUAACGGCCCACCAAGGCGACGAUCAGUAGCCGGUCUGAGAGGAUGAACGGCCACACUGGAACUGAGACACGGUCCAGACUCCUACGGGAGGCAGCAGUGGGGAAUCUUCCGCAAUGGGCGAAAGCCUGACGGAGCAACGCCGCGUGAGUGAUGACGGCCUUCGGGUUGUAAAACUCUGUGAUCCGGGACGAAAAGGCAGAGUGCGAAGAACAAACUGCAUUGACGGUACCGGAAAAGCAAGCCACGGCUAACUACGUGCCAGCAGCCGCGGUAAUACGUAGGUGGCAAGCGUUGUCCGGAAUUAUUGGGCGUAAAGCGCGCGCAGGCGGCUUCCCAAGUCCCUCUUAAAAGUGCGGGGCUUAACCCCGUGAUGGGAAGGAAACUGGGAAGCUGGAGUAUCGGAGAGGAAAGUGGAAUUCCUAGUGUAGCGGUGAAAUGCGUAGAGAUUAGGAAGAACACCGGUGGCGAAGGCGACUUUCUGGACGAAAACUGACGCUGAGGCGCGAAAGCGUGGGGAGCAAACAGGAUUAGAUACCCUGGUAGUCCACGCCGUAAAC